AAUGAACGCUGGCGGCAGGCCUAACACAUGCAAGUCGAACGGAGUUAUAUUGUAGCUUGCUAUGGUAUAACUUAGUGGCAGACGGGUGAGUAAUGUAUAGGAAUCUACCUAGUAGUAUGGAAUAAUUGUUGGAAACGGCAACUAAUACCGUAUACGCCCUACGGGGGAAAAAUUUAUUCCUAUUAGAUGAGCCUAUAUUAGAUUAGCUAGUUGGUGGAGUAACAGCCUACCAAGGCAAUGAUCUAUAGCUGAUCUGAGAGGAUGAUCAGCCACACUGGAACUGAGAUACGGUCCAGACUCUUAUCUACG
rnacentral:rRNA from 1 species